GACUUGGUGUGGUUGUUGCUGGCCCUCUCGGGGGCAUGUGCACACCCACCAUCCUCAUCUCUCCACCUGUGCACCUCUUGUAGACCUGGAUUGACUUUCCGAGGCAACUCGGUCGGGAAGAUUGCUGCGCUCUGUGAGCCAGCUUUCUUUGCAUGUCCAGGCCUAUGUUUUUCAUAUACCCCUAUAGAAUGUAACAGAAUGUAUCAUUGGGCCUUGUGCCUAUAAACCUUAUACAACUUUCAGCAACGGAUCUCUUGGCUCUCGCAUCGAUGAAGAACGCAGCGAAAUGCGAUAAGUAAUGUGAAUUGCAGAAUUCAGUGAAUCAUCGAAUCUUUGAACGCACCUUGCGCUCCUUGGUAUUCCGAGGAGCAUGCCUGUUUGAGUGUCAUUAAAUUCUCAACCUUAUUAACUUUUGUUGAUAAUGGAUUGGAUUGUGGGGGUUUCUUUUGCUGGCUUCUUCACAGAGAUCAGCUCCCCUUAAAUGCAUUAGCUGGUGCCCCGCGUGGACCAUCUAUUGGUGUGAUAAUUAUCUACGCCGUGGAUGUCUGCAAUYAUAUGGGUUUCGCACUGCUUCUAACCGUCUGUUCAUUCGGACAAUACAUGACAAUUUGACCUCAAAUCAGGUAGGACUACCCGCUGAACUUAAGCAUAUCAAUAAGCGGAGGAAAAGAAACUAACAAGGAUUCCCCUAGUAACUGCGAGUGAAGCGGGAAAAGCUCAAAUUUAAAAUCUGGCGGUCUCCGGCCGUCCGAGUUGUAAUCUAGAGAAGUGUUAUCCGCGCUGGACCG
rnacentral:rRNA from 1 species